AUUUAACGCUGGCGGCAGGCCUAACACAUGCAAGUCGAGCGAGCGGCGGACGGGUGAGUAAUGUCUGGGAAACUGCCUGAUGGAGGGGGAUAACUACUUGAAACGGUAGCUAAUACCGCAUACCAUCAGAUGUGCCCAGAUGGGAUUAGCUAGUAGGUGGGGUAACGGCUCACCUAGGCGACGAUCCCUAGCGGGUCUGAGAGGAUGACCAGCCACACUGGAACUGAGACACGGUCCAGACUCCUACGGGAGGCAGAAGUGGGGAAUAUUGCAAAAGGGGCGCAAGCCUGAUGCAGCCAUGCCGCGUGUGUGAAGAAGGCCUUCGGGUUGUAAAGCACUUUCAGCGGGGAGGCGUUACCCGCAGAAGAAGCACCGGCUAACUCCGUGCCAGCAGCCGCGGUAAUUC
rnacentral:rRNA from 1 species